AGCGAACGCUGGCGGCAGGCUUAACACAUGCAAGUCGAGCGGGCACUUCGGUGUCAGCGGCAGACGGGUGAGUAACACGUGGGAACGUACCCUUCGGUUCGGAAUAACGCUGGGAAACUAGCGCUAAUACCGGAUACGCCCUUUUGGGGAAAGGUUUACUGCCGAAGGAUCGGCCCGCGUCUGAUUAGCUAGUUGGUGGGGUAAUGGCCUACCAGGGCGACGAUCAGUAGCUGGUCUGAGAGGAUGAUCAGCCACACUGGGACUGAGACACGGCCCAGACUCCUACGGGAGGCAGCAGUGGGGAAUAUUGGACAAUGGGCGCAAGCCUGAUCCAGCCAUGCCGCGUGAGUGAUGAAGGCCUUAGGGUUGUAAAGCUCUUUUGUCCGGGACGAUAAUGACGGUACCGGAAGAAUAAGCCCCGGCUAACUUCGUG
rnacentral:rRNA from 1 species